rnacentral:rRNA from 1 species
CAGGUAGGCGGUUUGGUAAGUCUGUUGUGAAAGCUCCCGGCUCAACUGGGAGAGGCCAACGGAAACUACCAGGCUAGAGGGUGGUAGAGGAAGCUAGAAUUCCCGGUGUAGCGGUGAAAUGCGUAGAGAUCGGGAGGAAUACCUAUGGCGAAAGCAGGCUUCUGGACCAUCCCUGACGCUAAUCUGCGAAAGCUAGGGGAGCAAACAGGAUUAGAUACCCUGGUAGUCCUAGCCCUAAACGAUGCUCAUUAGGUGUGGGAGGUAUCGACCCCUUCCGCGCCGAAGCUAACGCAUUAAAUGAGCCGCCUGGGGAGUACGGCCGCAAGGUUGAA